rnacentral:rRNA from 1 species
AGAACGAACGCUGGCGGCAUGCCUAACACAUGCAAGUCGAGCGCCCGUAGCAAUACGGGAGCGGCAGACGGGAUAGUAACACGUGGGAACGCGCCCUUCGGUUCGGAAUAACUCAGGGAAACUUGAGCUAAUACCGGAUACGCCCUUACGGGGAAAGAUUUAUUGCCGAAGGAACGGCCCGCGUCCGAUUAGCUAGUUGGUGAGGUAAUGGCUCACCAAGGCGACGAUCGGUAGCUGGUCUGAGAGGAUGACCAGCAUCACUGGGACUGAGACACGGCCCAGACUCCUACGGGAGGCAGCAGUGGGGAAUAUUGGACAAUGGGCGCAAGCCUGAUCCAGCCAUGCCGCGUGGAUGAUGAAGGCCUUAGGGUUGUAAAGUCCUUUUAACGGGGAAGAUAAUGACGGUACCCGUAGAAUAAGCCCCGGCUAACUUCGUGCCAGCAGCCGC